UUGAACGCUGGCGGCAUGCCUUACACAUGCAAGUCGAACGGCAGCACGGGAGCAAUCCUGGUGGCGAGUGGCGAACGGGUGAGUAAUAUAUCGGAACGUGCCCAGUCGUGGGGGAUAACGUAGCGAAAGCUACGCUAAUACCGCAUACGAUCUAUGGAUGAAAGCGGGGGGAUCGCAAGACCUCGCGCGAUUGGAGCGGCCGAUAUCAGAUUAGGUAGUUGGUGAGGUAAAGGCUCACCAAGCCGACGAUCUGUAGCUGGUCUGAGAGGACGACCAGCCACACUGGGACUGAGACACGGCCCAGACUCCUACGGGAGGCAGCAGUGGGGAAUUUUGGACAAUGGGCGCAAGCCUGAUCCAGCAAUGCCGCGUGCAGGAUGAAGGCCUUCGGGUUGUAAACUGCUUUUGUACGGAACGAAACGGUGAGCUCUAAUACAGUUUGCUAAUGACGGUGCCGUAAGAAUAAGCACCGGCUAACUACGUG
rnacentral:rRNA from 1 species